CUCUCGCUCGCCGCUCUCCGUCUCCUCCCCGUCGCCUCUCUCUCUCUCUCCCCUCCGGCAACGCCCUCUCCCUCUCCUCGUCGCCGCUCUCUCACUCUCCUCGUCGCCGCCCUCUCCUCUCCCCGUCGCCGGCCUCUCCCUCUCCCCGUCGCCGGCCUCUUCCACUGCCCUUUUUCCUCACCACCCCGCCUCCACUCAUACCCCGUAAGUCAACAAAAUAUCGAUUCUUUUUGCGCCGGCGACGAGCUUCUAGGCGAAGGACGUGUGGAUGUGUAGCGGCGCCAGAGCUCGAUAUAGGCAACGAAGGCGUGGACGUGGAUCAGUGCCCGAGCGGCGGAUCUGGAGCGGCGGAUCUGGAGCGGCGCCCGAGCAACGGAGGGAGAUGGAGUUCCCUCCUGGCGUGGCGGCUCGAUCUGCAACGCCCGCAGCUGCGGCACGCCACCCUCGCUACUGUCGCAGGGAGAUGCCGCUCUUCCCCUUCCCGGUCCGCCCUGAUGUGGUUUCCUCUCCGUGACCCGUCAUCGGAGGCACGGCCAGAGGCAUCCCCGCCGCGUGCAGCUGCUACUCCCGGACGCCGCCGCCGCCCUCCGCAAGGAGCGACGAUAACCUGAAGCUCUGCGGCCCGGCGUGCGCCGAGCGGCGCGCCGCGGGGGCACCGUCGCCGAUCGGCCACACGACAUCGCUCUCGUCCAGCUAGAAGCAUGCGCUGUCGUGGCCUGCCUCCGGCUGUCGUGAUAAUUUGAUUGAAAAGGGACGGCAUGCUGAGGUGUACAAAGGACAGCUUGCUGAUUGAUAGUUUGUGGCAGUGAAGAGGUUAACAAAAAUACUUAACCAAGCAUGCUGAGGUGAGCAGAGUAGAGACUGUCUACAAUCAUGAUCUAGAGUAGCAUGGAGUAAAAUGUUUGCAAGAGUACAUUUACAGGCAUGAGUACAAUGAAUUAACCAAUUGUUGUCAGUUGAAACUUAAAGUUCAGACAUGAGGUAGUCUUAGAGACCCAUGUACUCCUUGUAUUCAUGUUGUCAGUUGAAGUUGGUAUCUUGCUUGUUUCCAAGUCUUGCGGUUGUACAUGAUGGUUUCAUCAGAUGGAUGUGAACUGAAUGUAUGUCCAGUUUACACCGAUGUAACCUGAUUCUGAAAGAAUGCCACAUACAGAUGGCGUCGACCUUGGCCUCCUCGUCGAUCUGACUCUGCAUUAAGAAAACUUGCUGGCAUCAAGUGUCCCCCUUCCUCCACUGGCAGCCUUCCAUCGAAUUCACAUCAGAAAACUUCAUUCAUUCACCCAGAAAAAAUAACUGACAUUGCCAACAUCUCACAAGAAAGAAGAGAGCAGAGUUGAAGUUGCGAGCCUGUUUACUUGCAGCUACACCUGUGUUCUUCUUCUUCUUCGCAGAAUCAAUCAGAUUCUCUUGAUUGGAGUGGAGAGGAGCAGAGACGAGAGGAGCAGCAGAAGUGGACAGCGCAACGGCUGACCUCGAGCUCUUGAUUGGAGUUGGGGGAGGCGGCCGGCGAAGGAUCUGUGGCCAACAGUGAAGGAUCCGAAGCUGUGGCGGAGCAGGCAGCCGGCGGGAAGGGCGGCCGGCGAGGGAGCUGCGGACCGCGGCGGGGAAGGGCGGCCGAUGAGGGAGCUGCGGACCGUGGCGGGGAAGGACGCCAGAGAUGCGGACGAAGGAGGAGCCUGGCGAAAGGGAGCAGCGACGGCGUAGAAGCCUGGCGGAGGGGAGGAGCGACGGAGGAAGACGCCUCCCGAUUGAUUUCAAAUCGGGGGUAGUAUUGUACUUUCACACUGUUUCACCUGGUCGGAACGACGCCCCCAGCGACAAUUAUUUCGGAA